rnacentral:rRNA from 1 species
UACGGAGGGUGCAAGCGUUAUCCGGAUUCACUGGGUUUAAAGGGUGCGUAGGUGGGUUGGUAAGUCAGUGGUGAAAUCCCCGGGCUUAACCUGGGAACUGCAUUGGUGACUGGCAGGCUUUGAGUGUGGCAGAGGGAGGUAGAAUUCCACGUGUAGCAGUGAAAUGCGUAGAGAUGUGGAGGAAUACCGAUGGCGAAGGCAGCCUCCUGGGCCAACACUGACGCUCAUGCACGAAAGCGUGGGGAGCAAACAGG